rnacentral:rRNA from 1 species
CCUACGGGAGGCAGCAGUGGGGAAUAUUGGACAAUGGGCGAAAGCCUGAUCCAGCAAUGCCGCGUGAGUGAUGAAGGCCUUCGGGUCGUAAAGCUCUUUUACCAGGGAUGAUAAUGACAGUACCUGGAGAAUAAGCUCCGGCUAACUCCGUGCCAGCAGCCGCGGUAAUACGGAGGGAGCUAGCGUUGUUCGGAAUUACUGGGCGUAAAGAGUACGUAGGCGGUUAUUCAAGUCAGAGGUGAAAGCCCGGGGCUCAACCCCGGAACUGCCUUUGAAACUAGAUAACUAGAGUCUUGGAGAGGUUAGUGGAAUUCCGAGUGUAGAGGUGAAAUUCGUAGAUAUUCGGAAGAACACCAGUGGCGAAGGCGACUAACUGGACAAGUACUGACGCUGAGGUACGAAAGCGUGGGGAGCAAACAGGAUUAGAUACCCUGGUAGUCCACGCCGUAAACGAUGAUAACUAGUUGUUCGGUCACUUGGUGACUGAGUGACGCAGCUAACGCAUUAAGUUAUCCGCCUGGGGAGUACGGUCGCAAGAUUAAAACUCAAAAGAUAGUAGGACGUGAGACGUAGCGACGACGACACACGGGAGGUAAGGAG